rnacentral:rRNA from 1 species
AGUGAACGCUGGCGGUAGGCCUAACACAUGCAAGUCGAACGGCAGCACAGUAAGAGCUUGCUCUUACGGGUGGCGAGUGGCGGACGGGUGAGGAAUACAUCGGAAUCUACUUUUUCGUGGGGGAUAACGUAGGGAAACUUACGCUAAUACCGCAUACGACCUACGGGUGAAAGCAGGGGAUCUUCGGACCUUGCGCGAUUGAAGGAGCCGAUGUCGGAUUAGCUAGUUGGCGGGGUAAAGGCCCACCAAGGCGACGAUCCGUAGCUGGUCUGAGAGGAUGAUCAGCCACACUGGAACUGAGACACGGUCCAGACUCCUACGGGAGGCAGCAGUGGGGAAUAUUGGACAAUGGGCGCAAGCCUGAUCCAGCCAUACCGCGUGGGUGAAGAAGGCCUUCGGGUUGUAAAGCCCUUUUGUUGGGAAAGAAAAGCAGCAGGUUAAUACCCCGCUGUUCUGACGGUACCCAAAGAAUAAGCACCGGCUAACUUCGCG